rnacentral:rRNA from 1 species
UGGCGGCGACGUCUUAAGCAUGCAAGUCGAACGGCAAGAGGUAGCAAUACCUCCUAGAGUGGCGGACUGGUGAGUAACACGUGGGUGACAUACCCUUCAGAUGGGGAUAGCUAUUAGAAAUAGUAGAUAAUACCGAAUACGAGCACAGGGGUUAGAGAUCUGUAGAGGAAAGGAGCUAAGGCUCCGCUGAAGGAAUGGCCUGCGGCCCAUUAGCUAGUUGGUGAGGUAAGAGCCCACCAAGGCGAUGAUGGGUAUCCGGCCUUAGAGGGUGAACGGACACAUUGGGACUGAGAUACGGCCCAGACUCCUACGGGAGGCAGCAGCUAAGAAUAUUCCGCAAUGGACGAAAGUCUGACGGAGCGACGCCGCCGUGGAUGAAGAAGGCCGGAAGGUUGUAAAAUCCUUUUGAAACUGAAGAAUAAGCGUUGUAGGGAAUGACAGCGUGGUGACAGUAGGUUUUGAAUAAGCAACGGCUAAUUACGUGCCAGCCGCCGC